rnacentral:rRNA from 1 species
CCUAUAAGACUGGGAUAACUUCGGGAAACCGGAGCUAAUACCGGAUAACAUUUAGAACCGCAUGGUUCUAAAGUGAAAGGUGGUUUUGCUAUCACUUAUAGAUGGACCCGCGCCGUAUUAGCUAGUUGGUAAGGUAACGGCUUACCAAGGCGACGAUACGUAGCCGACCUGAGAGGGUGAUCGGCCACACUGGAACUGAGACACGGUCCUGACUCCUACGGGAGGCAGCAGUAGGGAAUCUUCCGCAAUGGGCGAAAGCCUGACGGAGCAACGCCGCGUGAGUGAUGAAGGGUCUCGGCUCGUAAAACUCUGUUAUUAGGGAAGAACAAAUGUGUAAGUAACUGUGCACAUCUUGACGGUACCUAAUCAGAAAGCCACGGCUAACUACGUGCCAGCAGCCGCGGUAAUACGUAGGUGGCAAGCGUUAUCCGGAAUUAUUGGGCGUAAAGCGCGCGUAGGCGGUUUCUUAAGUCUGAUGUGAAAGCCCACGGCUCAACCGUGGAGGGUCAUUGGAAACUGGGAAACUUAAGUGCAGAAGAGGAAAGUGGAAUUCCAUGUGUAGCGGUGAAAUGCGCAGAGAUAUGGAGGAACACCAGUGGCGAAGGCGACUUUCUGGUCUGUAACUGACGCUGAUGUGCGAAAGCGUGGGGAUCAAACAGGAUUAGAUACCCUGGUAGUCCACGCCGUAAACGAUGAGUGCUAAGUGUUAGGGGGUUUCCGCCCCUUAGUGCUGCAGCUAACGCAUUAAGCACUCCGCCUGGGGAGUACGACCGCAAGGUUGAAACUCAAA